rnacentral:rRNA from 1 species
UACGAGGGGUGCAAACGUUAUUCGGAAUCACUGGGUGUAAAGCGCGCGUAGACGGCAUGUUAAGCUCGUUGCAAAAUCUCUCGGCUUAACCGAGAAUUCGCGAUGGGAACUGGCAAGCUAGAGGAUGGAAGAGAGAAGUGGAAUUCCCGGAGUAGCGGUGGAAUGCGUAGAUCUCGGGAGGAACACCGAUGGCGUAGGCAGCUUCUUGGUCCAUAUCUGACGUUGAGGCGCGAAAGCGUGGGGAGCAAACAGG